GACGAACGCUGGCGGCGUGCUUAACACAUGCAAGUCGAACGAAGAGCGACGGAAGCUUGCUUCUAUCAAUCUUAGUGGCGAACGGGUGAGUAACGCGUAAUCAACCUGCCCUUCAGAGGGGGACAACAGUUGGAAACGACUGCUAAUACCGCAUACGAUCUAACCUCGGCAUCGAGGAUAGAUGAAAGGUGGCCUCUACAUGUAAGCUAUCACUGAAGGAGGGGAUUGCGUCUGAUUAGCUAGUUGGAGGGGUAACGGCCCACCAAGGCGAGGAUCAGUAGCCGGUCUGAGAGGAUGAACGGCCACAUUGGGACUGAGACACGGCCCAGACUCCUACGGGAGGCAGCAGUGGGGAAUCUUCCGCAAUGGACGAAAGUCUGACGGAGCAACGCCGCGUGAGUGAUGACGGCCUUCGGGUUGUAAAGCUCUGUUAAUCGGGACGAAAGGCCUUCUUGCGAAUAGUGAGAAGGAUUGACGGUACCGGAAUAGAAAGCCACGGCUAACUACGUG
rnacentral:rRNA from 1 species